rnacentral:lncRNA from 1 species
ACCAAAGCAGAGACUUACAUGCAGGAAGUGGAGUUGCUGUCAAUAUAUGCUAAUAACAAUGUUUUUUUAAACAGGAAAAGAAAACACCUGUGAAAGUCGAGGAACAUGAGUUUGAGCAGAAAUGUUGAACUGUUAAAAGAUUACAGCAGAGGUUCAGCCGCUCCGUUUUCAGGAUGGGUCUUUAGAGCUGUCCUAGCUUGUCGGGGGCUAAACUAUCUCUUCAUUAACAAAUCUUGGAUGCAGCCUUUCUUCUUCCAGGGAUGGGCAUGAAUUUGGGUAAAACCCCCCUUUCUGGUUUCUGGCUUCUAAGGGCAGUGCCAGGAGAGGAACUGAGCUGUGAGUGGUUAGCAACCAACUCUUCCGGAACAUGGGAGAACAAAAGCUUUUUCCACUUGGAAGGGGCGAGGAAGCAUGUGUCCUUCCCCAGUGUCCACUGCAGUCCACCCAUUCACACCCACAUGCAGGAUACAGAUGUUGGCAUCCUCUGGAUGUGGCUGCAAGAUUCUCAGUGUGAGCAGACAUAAGAAUGAGGUGGACUUGGACGACAGAUCAGGCCAACCAUUCCUGUCUAGGAUUCUGCAAAUGUUCUUCCUCUCAGCUGUUUUCCUUUGCACACAGAUGGUGAAGUGUGAUGGUUAAUCUGACGGUAAACAUGACUGGAUCUGGACUCACCUAAGAGCCGAGCCUCUAGGCAGCUCCGUGAGGGUAUUCCCAGGAAGAAUGAACUGAAGUGGGAAGAUCUCUCCCCCACAGUGCAUGACUCCUUCCAGCAGGCCCAGAUAUAAAGAAUGGAUGGGUCAAAGGGAAAAGCGGUACUGUCUGUCUGCCUUCCCUUCUUGCUGGGAAAUGCAUCUACUCUCUUGCUGGACAACCUGGUCACUAUCAUUGAUUAGUCUGAAUUUCCAUGCUUCUGUAAGAUCAUUCACAUUCUGGCACCUGUCCAUGCCUGGCACUUUGAGUAGCAUUGUUCCAGAUUAUAAAUCUAAUAAUACCUUAAUGGAAACAUGGGCUGAGUACACGGUCACCUUUACAAGAUAAUCCCGAGUUUGUUCCAGUUGCCACUCCAGCCAGCAGGUGUGUUGGGAGCUCCCUCUGCCCUGCAGCCUUGCCAGUAUUGUCAUGUCAGUCUUCUGGAUGAAAACUAAUAUCUUCUUUCUUGGCCUGAUUUUGCGUUUCUCUGUUUAUUAAUAUAAACUCGAG